UUAAGUCUCGCAACGAGCGCAACCCUUGUCCGUAGUUGCCAUCAUUCAGUUGGGAACUCUAGGGAGACUGCCGGUGACAAACCGGAGGAAGGUGGGGAUGAGGUCAAGUCAUCAUGGCCCUUAUGAGCAGGGGUACACACGUACUACAAUGGCCGGUACAGAGGGUUGCCAAGCCGGGAGGUGGAGCCAAUCCCAGAAAACCGGUCGUAGUCCGGAUCGGAGUCUGCAACUCGACUCCGUGAAGUCGGAAUCGCUAGUAAUCGCGGAUCAGCAUGCCGCGGUGAAUACGUUCCCGGGCCUUGUACACACCGCCCGUCACACCAUGGGAGUUGGUUGUACCAGAAGUCGGUAGUCUAACCGCAAGGAGGACGCCGCCCACGGUAUGGUCAAUGACUGGGGUGAAGUCGUAACAAGGUAGCCGUAGGGGAACC
rnacentral:rRNA from 1 species